AAACGUAGGAGACAAGCGUUAUCCGGAGUUACUGGGCGUAAAGGGCGUGUAGGGCGGCCUUCUAAGUGGGUUGCGAAAGCGACUGGCUCAACCGGUCGAGGCCGACCCAGACUGGGAAGCUAGAGGGCGGUAGAGGGGUGUGGAAUUCCGGGUGUAGUGGUGAAAUGCGUAGAGAUCCGGAGGAACACCAGAGGCGAAGGCGACACUCUAGGCCGCACCUGACGCUGAGACGCGACAGCACGGGGAGC
rnacentral:rRNA from 1 species